GUGUAAUCUGAAGGAGAGAAGGUUGACAGUCCCCUGCACACGGUUGGAUAGGGCACCUGUUGCCCACUCCGGAGGCAUGAAUCGUCCGCUACAUCGGAAGGCCCUUUU
rnacentral:ncRNA from 1 species